rnacentral:rRNA from 1 species
CCUACGGGAGGCAGCAGUGGGGAAUAUUGCACAAUGGGCGAAAGCYUGAUGCASCCAUGCCGCGUGUGUGAAGAAGGCYUUCGGGUUGUAAAGCACUUUCAGCGAGGAGGAAAGGUCAGUAAGUAAUAUUUGCUGGCUGUGACGUUACUCGCAGAAGAAGCACCGGCUAAUUUAGUGCCAGCAGCCGCGGUAAUACUAAAGGUGCAAGCGUUAAUCGGAAUUACUGGGCGUAAAGCGCGCGUAGGUGGUUUGUCAAGUUGAAUGUGAAAGCCCAGGGCUCAACCUUGGAACAGCAUCCAAAACUGACUCACUAGAGUACGAGAGAGGUUAGUGGAAUUUCCUGUGUAGCGGUGAAAUGCGUAGAGAUGGGAAGGAACACCAGUGGCGAAAGGCGACUGACUGGCUCGAUACUUGACACUGAGGUGCGAAAGCGUGGGGAGCAAACGGGAUUAGAUACCCCGGUAGUCCACGCCGUAAACGAUGUCUACUAGCCGUUGGGAGACUUGAUCUCUUAGUGGCGAAGCUAACGCGAUAAGUAGACCGCCUGGGGAAGUACGGUCGCAAGAUUAAAACUCAAAGGAAUUGACGGGG